rnacentral:rRNA from 1 species
UUAAACUGAAGAGUUUGAUCAUGGCUCAGAUUGAACGCUGGCGGCAGGCCUAACACAUGCAAGUCGAGCGGUAACAGAUCUAGCUUGCUAGAUGCUGACGAGCGGCGGACGGGUGAGUAAUGCAUAGGAAUCUGCCCGGUAGUGGGGGAUAACCUGGGGAAACCCAGGCUAAUACCGCAUACGUCCUACGGGAGAAAGGGGGCUUCGGCUCCCGCUAUUGGAUGAGCCUAUGUCGGAUUAGCUAGUUGGUGAGGUAAAGGCUCACCAAGGCAACGAUCUGUAGCUGGUCUGAGAGGAUGA